AACGCACAUUGCACCCUUUGGUAUUCCGAAGGGUAUGCCUGUUUGAGUAUCAUUAAUCUAUCAACGCAAUAGUUUUUGUAAUUAUAUGUGCUUGGAUGUUGAAGGUUGCUGGCAUCAUUGUCUGCUCCUUUUAAAUACAUUAGCAGGACUUGUUAACCAGCUUCGGUUUGAUAAUAAUUCUUAUCUAUGCUGCUGCUGAGAGACUAUUGUUCAGCUUCUAAUUGUCUCUCUAUGAGACUGUCUCUUCUGAGGCAUACUUGAAUCUUGAUCUCAAAUCAGGUAGGACUACCCGCUGAACUUAA
rnacentral:misc_RNA from 1 species